UCUUCAAAGAUUGAAUUUUCC
rnacentral:piRNA from 1 species